AAUGUGACACAAUUGAAUCUUGAAACUGAACUAAUGCAAGCUCAUGCUUCUCUUGGUGUCCGACACAUGGUUUAUUUCUCUGGAAAACUCCAACUAUUUUGAGGAGCCCCUUUGAGUUUGCCAUGUCAUCCCGGGGCACCUCAGACAUGGUCUGGGUCCUUCCCAUCACUAUGGCCUAAAGUUUUAUCUUGGAAGAUUUAAGUUCAGAAUUUCAACAAAGCAACAGAGUAGAUGCGUCUUUACCAGGAACUGGCUGAAUGAGAAGUGAAUGAAAGCUUGGAAUAUAGAGAUAGAAAAAAAAAAUUUCCGUCUGAGAUAUGGACCACCCACUCAACAUAAGAAGAAAACAACUUUUACUUAAGGGUAGGCCUUGACCUUGGCCCUUGUCCUGGCUGAGUCCAGUUUUGGCCAGAAGCCUGCUGUGAGUUUGGAGAGAACACCAUCCUCUUGAUAUCUGAUCAAAUUCCUCAUCUCCACCCCCUCCAAGGCCCCAGUCUAAAAGUCUUCCCGAACAAGAGUGGAGGAAGGAAAAGCACACGGGUACCAUAUGCUCCUUAAACACCUACACACGUACAUCUUCCUUAGUCCCCCCUGCCCAAUCAGAGAGGGAUGCCUUCCAUUUGGGUAAUUUGCAUUGGCCAUCCCUGACUUUCUGGAAAUAUUGGAAGGAAUUAGAGAAAAAUACGCUAUACUGAUUUCUGGACCAUGUCAGACAUCAUUCAGGAAAAAGGCACGGAUUCUGCUUUGGAAACUCAACUGUCCUAGAUUUUCCUAUCAUCUCUCUAUGGAAAUGACACUUCUCCCUGGAACACGCUCAUCCUUUACUGACCUGUUAUGUUCUAUUCGGUCUUGGCUUCAACAUUGAACGACUGAACGCAUCCUUGGGCAAAACUGGUCAAAUCAGAGGAGGCCAGGGAAUAUCCGAAGUAGGCGUGUGGGAGCCGGAUCUUUAGUGCACUUGUAGCUGGGUCUCAUAUAGGAAAUUUGAUUCUUGUUGAAUCAGAAAUCGACACUACAUUUAACUUUCUGAGGUUUGUGUGCCUGGCU